rnacentral:lncRNA from 1 species
AUAACUUCCCUGCUCAUCUUCAUUCCAUGUCCAUCCAUUCCAAACCAUUUCCUCCUAACCUCUCCUACUCACAUGCUACCAACAUCAAAGUUCUACCAACUUUUACUAAAAAUCCAUCUCUGUGUACUCUCUUAAGCCGAUUGAAGGAAAAUUGAGGGGGUGACUAAUGAAGAAGCCUUGAAGCAAAGUGUUUGGGUUUAUUAAAUUUCAAAUCGACUCGUCUCACAGAGUCACAGGUAUGCAUUUUGUUAAUUUUAAAUCCUCUGUCACGUUUUCUCUCUCCAUACUCUAUCACCGUCGGCUGAAGCAAAAAAAGUUGGGGGUGAUUGCGGGAUAAAUUUUGAAGCAAACUAGUUUGGGUUCAAUUAAUUUCAAGUUGAAUCCUCUAACGUGUAUAUCUUUAUUAAUUAAAGUGUUAAUUAGCAUAUCAAAGUUAUACAGUUAAAAUACCAUUCCUUACUUAUUCUUGUGGACAAAGGCAAAACUAUACAGUUAAUCCCAUAACUCAAUGGUCAGUGCAUUUUCGUUAGAAAAUUUAACCAAAUCUGUAAUAAAAAAAAAAUACUAAAAAGGGAACUAAAAGGAUUGGCUACUGUAGAAACUGGGAUUGUUGCUGAUAGUGGGGGUAAUAAUUGUUUACCUCAUUCUCAAUAAUUAAACUGGUGCUUGGAUUGUUAUGGGUUUUAAUAAAUCCUGUAAAUAUAGAGAUGUUAUUGAUUUUAUAGCUGUAAAUAGAGUUUCUUUAUUAUGUUCGGUAGAAACAAAAAUCUCUCAAGUAAAAGUUAAAAAAAAUUAAAUUAAUUAUUAAGAAAUUUGGUGUGGGUUGGGAUCAUAAUGCUCCUGUAAAUGAAAGGGCCAGAAUUAUUGUUUGUUGGGAUGGAAAUGAAUUUGAUGUAUCCCUUAUUAUGUUGAAUACUCAAGUUAUUUUCUGCAAAGUGACUGUGAAGGGCUUAUCUAAAUCCUAGUACAUAUCUUUCGUCUAUGGUUUAAAUCCUAGUUCUACUUCAACUAUUAAAAAAUCUCAAGUUUCAAAACAACUCAAUUGAAAUGCUAGAAAAAAAUAGUAUCAUUAAUACGUUUAUGAUCCUUUAAUAUUUAUAAAAAUUUAUAAACUUCAAAUGUUGAAAAAACAGUACCAUUUGAUUUUAGUAAGAGUUCUUUCAAAUAUAUCAUUGUUAUUCAGUAGAAAUAUAUAAUUUUUUGCAUGGUUAAUAAGGAAUUUAUUGCAAGAAUUUUGGGGCAGGAUAUGCUUCUUAUUACCACUCUAAGCUUUGGUGGGU